UACGAAGGGGGCUAGCGUUGCUCGGAAUUACUGGGCGUAAAGCGCACGUAGGCGGCUCGUUAAGUCGGAGGUGAAAUCCUGGAGCUCAACUCCAGAACUGCCUUCGAUACUGAUGAGCUCGAGUUCGGGAGAGGUGAGUGGAACUGCGAGUGUAGAGGUGAAAUUCGUAGAUAUUCGCAAGAACACCAGUGGCGAAGGCGGCUCACUGGCUCGAUACUGACGCUGAGGUGCGAAAGCGUGGGGAGCAAACAGG
rnacentral:rRNA from 1 species